rnacentral:lncRNA from 1 species
AAACAUUUGCGUCUGGAAAGUUGAAAUGUUUUAACUUAAUCAUUUGUGUUAAUGGUUAAAUAUAAAUUAAUAAUGAAAAUUGUUAAAAUUAAAUCAAUAAAGGAAAUUAUUGCCAAGGAAGUUACAAACACUACCAGGGGAUAAUCCAUGAUGAUUUCUUUUUGAGUUAUAUGUUUCAGCACAUGUAUAUUUGACCCCAACUUUAGCCUGGUAAACGUGUUGUCUCCUUGUGAAAUAUAAAACAUAUUAAAAAUGACUUUCUGCUAAAGUCUUUUAUUUAUAUAAAGUUAAAACCUUCUUACUUUUAACUAGACAACACUCAUGUCAGGUUUAAUUCUUGUAUAUAUGUGAAUGAAAAAUAAAAAUCCCCAAACAUUAACAUGGCAGCAAUUGCUUUUACAGCCUUUAAGGCUAUGAUUUAGA